rnacentral:misc_RNA from 1 species
AACAUCGCGCACCUGCGGGAACCUGCGGAGGGAUCAUUAAAGAGUUAGGGUCCUCUGGGCCCGACCUCCCAACCCUCUGUUUACCGAACCUCUGUUGCUUCGGCGGACCCGUCUCACGACCGCCGGAGGACCGCCCCCCAGGCGUCCUCUGGCCAGUGUCCGCCGACAGCCAACCUUCAAAACUCCUGAAUAAAUCAUGUCGUAUGUCUAAGUCUUAUGAUUCAAAUCAAUAAAGCAAAA